rnacentral:rRNA from 1 species
GAUGAACGCUAGCUACAGGCUUAACACAUGCAAGUCGAGGGGAAACGGCAUUGAGUGCUUGCACUCUUUGGACGUCGACCGGCGCACGGGUGAGUAACGCGUAUCCAACCUUCCCAUUACUGUGGGAUAACCUGCCGAAAGGCAGACUAAUACCGCAUAGUCUUCGAUGACGGCAUCAGAUUUGAAGUAAAGAUUUAUCGGUAAUGGAUGGGGAUGCGUCCGAUUAGGUAGUAGGCGGGGUAACGGCCCACCUAGCCUUCGAUCGGUAGGGGUUCUGAGAGGAAGGUCCCCCACACUGGAACUGAGACACGGUCCAGACUCCUACGGGAGGCAGCAGUGAGGAAUAUUGGUCAAUGGGCGAGAGCCUGAACCAGCCAAGUAGCGUGCAGGAUGACGGCCCUCCGGGUUGUAAACUGCUUUUAGUUGGGAAUAAAAAAAGGGACUUGUCCCUUCUUGUAUGUACCUUCAGAAAAAGGACCGGCUAAUUCCGUGCCAGCAGCCGCGGUAAUACGGAAGGUCCAGGCGUUAUCCGGAUUUAUUGGGUUUAAAGGGAGCGUAGGCGGAUUGUUAAGUCAGCGGUUAAAGGGUGUGGCUCAACCAUGCAUUGCCGUUGAAACUGGCGAUCUUGAGUGCAGACAGGGAUGCCGGAAUUCGUGGUGUAGCGGUGAAAUGCUUAGAUAUGACGAAGAACUCCGAUUGCGAAGGCAGCUGACGGGAGCGCAACUGACGCUUAAGCUCGAAGGUGCGGGUAUCAAACAGG